UGGAGUGUGGCUCAAUUGGUACAGCACCUGGCUGUUACCCAGGCAGUGCGAAAGCACAUUGCAGGUUCGAGUCCUGCUGCUCCAGCCA
rnacentral:tRNA from 1 species